CAUCACUAGAAGAUACAAGCGGGAGACAGAUUAAGCUUUUUUUAAACAAAAAUUAACUACGGAGUUUGGAAUCCGCCGCUAUCUAGCAACGGAAACUCAAAUCCAUCGCUAACAUUAAUAAAACGUAUUGCACAUCUGCCUAACCCUAACUAGUCGACGCACUUCUUCUCUCCCAUAACACUCAAACGUUUUUCUCCUGCUGACGACGCGCAACAGAGACGACGCUGCUUUUCUGCUGACCAUCACUUCCCCUGCCGCCUUCUCCGCCCACCGCCAACAUCCGCUAUUUUACUCCGACCGCAACCGUACUGCGCUGCUUCUCUGCGGGGGUAUCCUUCCGACCAUCACAUCCCCCGCAACCGAGACACGCUGCUUCUAUGCCGGAGCAUCCUUCCGACCAUCACUUCCCCUGCUGCCUACCCCGCCCACCGCCAACAGCCGUUUCAAGUCGAGAAUCAAAACUGCGGUAGAGAUGAGCCCCUCAAAAUUCUUCAAUGGAGGUAAAAUCAAUCUGCAGUUUUGAAGAUACAUAGAUGUAUUCAUAUGAAAGGACAAGAAAAGAAAGAUUACUGUGCAUGUGAAAGGCAAAACAGAGUGUUUCGACUUUCGAGUGCCAACCUAAACCAGCUCCAAAAAUUUACCCUGUAUGCACAAUUACCAGCACUCCAUCCAAGGUGGUUCUCGUUCGGAAGCAACUAAAAGAAACGCAUAACUCAUGCACAACUCAACUAUCAACAACAAGAUAAACAACUCAACACAUUCUAAAUGCAACACAUGCCCUCAAAUGUA